rnacentral:lncRNA from 1 species
AUGAACGACUGCAGAGAGGAGUUGAAAUUAAGUCAGCAGAGAUCACGAUUUGUUUUGGCUCAGAUCCUAAUCCAGUUUAUAAUCCAAGGUCUGGAGUCCCAGUACCAGAUUACUCUGAGUGAUGAAGAAAUGAUAGCCAGGAACUCUGUAGACACAGACAAGGAAAAUCUGUGAUAUCCUCCUAUGUGUUGCUCUUACCUGAAGAAUCUUUUAGAUUUGAGGAGUGGUCAGUGAACUCUCAAGCUUUGCUAAACUAUGCAGGAAUUUUCCUCUUUGUGUGAAGUCUCCAUAUGAUCUUAUUUGAGCCACAUGAAGCCACAAAUACAUUUUAGCUUGGACCAUAUCACACAGGUGUGUGAACAAGCACUAUCACCAGUCUUAGAUCUACCAUAUUAUAGCUGCCAUUGUACCACAGAUUUUAUUCUUCUAGAAAGAUUUAAUGAUGAGUAAAACUCUUUCAUUGAUAUUCAUAUUAAUAAAACAAAUAAAUACUACAAAUAAUUUAUUUCCAUAAUAAAAGUGGUGCUUUGCAAAUACAACAUAUCUAUAGUAUAUUUAGAACUGAUCCAAAAUAUGAGAACAGACAGUUUAAAAAGAAGUACAAGACUGCAUGGAGAAGAUAAUAAAUCUUACUAAGAAGUAUUUCUUGCUUCUUAGUAAUGUUGAGCCAUGUAAUUUUUUUUUUUUUUUUCCUGAAGAAUUCAUUUCCUUCUUCAUACUUUUCCUGUUGCUUGUAUGUAUAUCACAGAAUCACAGAAUUGUCUAGUUUGGAAGAGACCUCAAGAUCAUUGAGUCCAACCUUUAACC